rnacentral:rRNA from 1 species
AUGAACGCUGGCGGCGUGCCUCAUACAUGCAAGUCGAGCGAACGGACGAGAAGCUUGCUUCUCUGAUGUUAGCGGCGGACGGGUGAGUAACACGUGGAUAACCUACCUAUAAGACUGGGAUAACUUCGGGAAACCGGAGCUAAUACCGGAUAAUAUUUUGAACCGCAUGGUUCAAAAGUAAAAGACGGUCUUGCUGUCACUUAUAGAUGGAUCCGCGCUGCAUUAGCUAGUUGGUAAGGUAACGGCUUACCAAGGCAACGAUGCAUAGCCGACCUGAGAGGGUGAUCGGCCACACUGGAACUGAGACACGGUCCAGACUCCUACGGGAGGCAGCAGUAGGGAAUCUUCCGCAAUGGGCGAAAGCCUGACGGAGCAACGCCGCGUGAGUGAUGAAGGUCUUCGGAUCGUAAAACUCUGUUAUUAGGGAAGAACAUAUGUGUAAGUAACUGUGCACAUCUUGACGGUACCUAAUCAGAAAGCCACGGCUAACUACGUG